GACAGAGGGUGCAAACGUUGUUCGGAAUUACUGGGCGUAAAGCGCACGUAGGCGGCUUUGUAAGUCAGAGGUGAAAGCCUGGAGCUCAACUCCAGAACUGCCUUUGAGACUGCAUCGCUUGAAUCCAGGAGAGGUGAGUGGAAUUCCGAGUGUAGAGGUGAAAUUCGUAGAUAUUCGGAAGAACACCAGUGGCGAAGGCGGCUCACUGGACUGGUAUUGACGCUGAGGUGCGAAAGCCAGGGGAGCAAACGGG
rnacentral:rRNA from 1 species